ensembl:lncRNA
CUGGGAGAAGGAGAGUGUGUACUUACGUUUUGCCCGGCGUGCUCGUGCUCAAAUCAUUUUGAUGCACUGAGAGAGAAAGAGGCGACGAUUCUCAGAACAGAUGUGCUCUACAAAUGUUUUAUUUCCUUUUGGAUGCAGAUGCAGGAUGCAGAGAGUCAGUUCUGCUUGAUUAAAACUACCUGAUCUCCAAAGUCCACGUUUAUAGUCUCUAUCAACCACACACAACGCAGAGUUACAGCGGUGCAGUAUAGCACCGGCUACAUCAAGAAUAAUAAACAAGAAAAAGUAUGAGCAAUAACAAUCGUGUGCUUUGCAUGCUGCAAAUAAUAAUAACCUGUUAAAUGUAUAACAGAAAAUAGGACUAAUAUAAUAUACUGAAUAGCAUCUUACCAUCACAACAAACACCCCACAGUUGUUUGAGAAACCUUUCUUUGAUAGAUCCUGUGGUGUGAACAAGGUACCAUUUUCAAUAAAGGAAUGACAAUCAAAUGGUACAGUUCAGUGGAAUAAUUUAAUGGAAUAUCUAACCUGAACAUCAUCCACACCAAAAGUCCUCCAAGGUCCAGGGGACAAGAGCCGAGCACUGUUUCUGUGAACACAGUGUAUGUGAAGUAAAGGAAAAGUACAAUUCAACAGCUUUUUAUACUCCAGCUUGCAUAACAGUUUUGAACACAGUUGGAACUGAAGUAGCCCAAGUACUUUUCAC